AUACGUAGGGUGCGAGCGUUGUCCGGAAUUAAUGGGCGUAAAGAGCUCGUAGGUGGUUUGUCGCGUCGUCUGUGAAAUUCCGGGGCUUAACUCCGGGCGUGCAGGCGAUACGGGCAUAACUUGAGUACUGUAGGGGAGACUGGAAUUCCUGGUGUCGCGGUGAAAUGCGCAGAUAUCAGGAGGAACACCGGUGGCGAAGGCGGGUCUCUGGGCAGUAACUGACGCUGAGGAGCGAAAGCAUGGGUAGCGAACAGGAUUAGAUACCCUGGUAGUCCAUGCCGUAAACGGUGGGCGCUAGGUGUAGGGGUCUUCCACGACUUCUGUGCCGUAGCUAACCCAUUAAGCGCCCCGCCUGGGGAGUACGGCCGCAAGGCUAAAACUCAAAGGAAUUGACGGGG
rnacentral:rRNA from 1 species